GAUGAAGAACGUAGCGAAUUGCGAUAAGUAAUGUGAAUUGCAGAAUUACGUGAAUCAUCGAAUUUUUGAACGCAAAUUGCACUCUCUUCGGGGAGUAUGCCUGUUUGAGGGUCAGUAAAAAAAAAAUUAUCAUGAAUACUUUUUGAAUUCAUGGAAUUGGAUUCUUUCAAAGGUUUUUUUCCUUUGAUGAUCUCAAAUUUUUUUGUCUAAUUUAGGCUAUAUUAAAUUGAACUAAAAAGAGCAAUUAUAUUCAAUAAAUAAAUAUUAUCUCGAAUUUUAGCGAUAUUUAUUUAGUCAAAUUUAUGAUAUUUUGGCAUUUAAAUAAAAAUGAUAAAAUGUCAUAAAAAUAUUUAACAUUGACCUCAAAUCAGGUAAGAAUACCCGCUGAACUUAAGCAUAUCAAUAAGCGGAGGA
rnacentral:misc_RNA from 1 species